AACAAGGCGUACCUGCGGACCUGCGGAGGGAUCAUUACAGAGUUGCAAAACUCCCUAAACCAUUGUGAACGUUACCUAGACCGUUGCUUCGGCGGGCGGCCCGGGUCCUUCCCGGCGCCCCUCGGCCCUCGCGGGCGCCCGCCGGAGGUAAACCAAACUAUUGCAUUGUAUGGCCUCUCUGAGUCUUCUGUACUGAAUAAGUCAAAACUUUUAACAACGGAUCUCAGAUCGGAAGAGCAC
rnacentral:misc_RNA from 1 species